GAUCCUGGCUCAGAACGAACGCUGGCGGCAGGCCUAACACAUGCAAGUCGAGCGAGACCUUCGGGUCUAGCGGCGGACGGGUUAGUAACGCGUGGGAACGUGCCCUUCUCUGCGGAAUAGCCACUGGAAACGGUGAGUAAUACCGCAUACGCCCUUCGGGGGAAAGAUUUAUCGGAGAAGGAUCGGCCCGCGUUAGAUUAGAUAGUUGGUGGGGUAAUGGCCUACCAAGUCUACGAUCUAUAGCUGGUUUUAGAGGAUGAUCAGCAACACUGGGACUGAGACACGGCCCAGACUCCUACGGGAGGCAGCAGUGGGGAAUCUUAGACAAUGGGCGCAAGCCUGAUCUAGCCAUGCCGCGUGUGUGAUGAAGGUCUUAGGAUCGUAAAGCACUUUCGCCAGGGAUGAUAAUGACAGUACCUGGUAAAGAAACCCCGGCUAA
rnacentral:rRNA from 1 species